CCCUUAGAUGUUCUGGGCCGCACGCGCGCUACACUGACGAUGGCAACGAGUUUUUCCUUCGCCGAAAGGUGUGGGUAAUCUUUUGAAACAUCGUCGUGCUGGGGAUAGAUCAUUGCAAUUUUUGAUCUUGAACGAGGAAUUCCUAGUAAGCGCGAGUCAUCAGCUCGCGUUGAUUACGUCCCUGCCCUUUGUACACACCGCCCGUCGCUACUACCGAUUGAAUGGUUUAGUGAGGACUCCUGAUUGGCGCCGCCGCCCCGGCAACGGAGCAGCGGACUGCCGAAAAGUUGUUCAAACUUGAUCAUUUAGAGGAAGUAAAAGUCGCAACA
rnacentral:rRNA from 1 species